rnacentral:rRNA from 1 species
GAAGUAGUGCCUAUGCGCUAUUUAGUGGCAAACGGGUGAGUAACACGUAGCUUAGCUGUCCUAAAGUGGGGGAUAGCCGCGGGAAGCCGCGGGUAAUACCGCAUGUGAUCUACGGAUUAAAGCUUAAUGCGCUUUAGGAGGUGGCUGCGGCCCAUCAGGUUGUUGGCGGGGUAAUGGCCCACCAAGCCUAUGACGGGUAUCCGGCCUGAGAGGGUGAUCGGACACAUUGGAACUGAGACACGGUCCAGACUCCUACGGGAGGCAGCAGCUAGGAAUUUUCCGCAAUGGACGAAAGUUUGACGGAGCAACGCCGCGUGAAGGAUGAAGGUCUUUAGGGAUUGUAAACUUCUUUUAUAUGAGACGAGUAAGGACGGUAUCAUAAGAAUAAGUCCCGGCUAACUACGUGCCAGCAGCCGCGGUAAUACGUAGGGGGCUAGCGUUGUUCGGAAUUACUGGGUAUAAAGGGUGCGCAGGCGGAUUUCUAAGCAAGAGGUGAAAUGUCAAGGCUCAACCAUGGCACUGCCUUUUGAACUGGUUAUCUGGAG